GAUGAACGCUAGCUACAGGCUUAACACAUGCAAGUCGAGGGGCAGCAGGGAUUUAGCUUGCUAAAUCCGCUGGCGACCGGCGCACGGGUGCGUAACGCGUAUCCAACUUUCCCGUUACUCAGGGAUAGCCUUCCGAAAGGGAGAUUAAUACCUGAUGGUGUUUGAAAUUCGCAUGUUCUUCAAACUAAAGAUUUAUCGGUAACGGAUAGGGAUGCGUGACAUUAGAUAGUAGGCGGGGUAACGGCCCACCUAGUCUACGAUGUCUAGGGGUUCUGAGAGGAAGGUCCCCCACACUGGAACUGAGACACGGUCCAGACUCCUACGGGAGGCAGCAGUGAGGAAUAUUGGUCAAUGGUCGGAAGACUGAACCAGCCAAGUAGCGUGAAGGAUGAAGGUUCUAUGGAUUGUAAACUUCUUUUAUAUAGGAAUAAAACCUCCCACGUGUGGGAGCUUGUAUGUACUAUAUGAAUAAGCAUCGGCUAACUCCGUGCCAGCCGCCGCGGUAAAAC
rnacentral:rRNA from 1 species